rnacentral:rRNA from 1 species
UAAAGAAUUAAGUUACAAAGUGUUGUAUUUUAAUGUAAUAAAAAUUGUUUAUUAUUUAGGUAUUAAUAGCAUAGAUAAAUUUUGGUUUAAGUACUGUAAAGGAUAGAAGUAUAUUUGUUUUUUAGUAAAGAUAAAAUUUUGUACCUUUUGUAUAAUGGGUUGAUGAUAUUAUUAGUUGUUUAUAGAGCUAUCUCGAAUUGAAAGGAUUUAUUUGAUAAUAUAUGUUAACGUGGUAAAGUUAUAUGUUGAUUAUUGAAUGGUAAUGAAAUGUUUAUCGUUUUUCAGUAUAGCUAGUUUAUUAGUGAUAAGUAUUUAAGUACUAUAGUGUUGUGUAAAUAAAAAUUUAUAUUUAAACAUUAGUUUAUUGUAUGAGGGAUAAGCUUUAUAUAAGAAUGUAGAAUAUUUAGUAGUAAUAUUUAUUAUAAUUUAAGUAGGGUUAAAGAUAUUGUUUUUCUUAAUGAUUUAAGUUUUAUGUAUGUAUAUGUAUUCAGGUAGAAGUUAAUAAAUGGUUAUUAAUGUAAGUAACUAAAUAUAAUGUUAAUAUGAGUAUUAGGUAAACAUAUUUAUAUGUUUGUGGUGGUUAUAAUUGUAAAUAGUUAUAAGUUUUGUAUAAGUAAAAUAAAAUAAAGGAAUUCGGCAAAUAGUAAUCUCGCCUGUUUAUCAAAAACAUCUCUCUUUGUAAUUUAUAUAUAAGGAGUUGGGCCUGCUCGGUGAAAAUUUUAACAGCUGCGGUAUUUUAACUGUACUAAGGUAGCAUAAUAAUUUGCCUUAUAAUUUGAGGCUAGAAUGAAUGGUUUGACGAAGGUUAAUCUGUCUCUAUUUUAUUUCUUAGAAAUUAAUUUUCAUAGUGAAAAAGCUUGAAUUCUUUAAAGGGACGAGAAGACCCUAUAUUUAAUUCUUAUUAUUUUUUUAGAUUUAUUUUAAUUGGGGUGAUUAAGGAAUAAAGUAUAUUAGUUAGUAACUUCCUUAGUAGGAUAUAUUGUUGAAUAAAGUAACCGAUAUUACGUAUAGAACCGUAUAUUGCUUAUAAUAUAGUUACCAUAGGGAUAACAGCGUAAUUUAUUUAGAGAGUUCUUAUUGAAAAAUAAGAUUGCGACCUCGAUGUUGGAUUAAAGUAACCUUAAGGUGCAGAAGCUUUAAUAGGUAAAUCUGUUCGAUUUUUAAAACUUUACAUGAUCUGAGUUCAGACCGGCGUGAGCCAGGUUGGUUUCUAUCUUUUAAAGAUUGUUAUUGCUUCUUUUAGUACGAAAGGAUCGAAGAAAGCUAAAGUUUUUAUUAAACGUGAAUAAAAUAAGUUUAUUC